AGAUUGAACGCUGGCGGAAUGCUUUACACAUGCAAGUCGAACGGCAGCACGGGGGCAACCCUGGUGGCGAGUGGCGAACGGGUGAGUAAUACAUCGGAACGUGCCCAGUCGUGGGGGAUAACUACGCGAAAGCGUAGCUAAUACCGCAUACGAACUCUGGUUGAAAGCGGGGGACUCGCAAGAGCCUCGCGCGAUUGGAGCGGACCGAUGGCAGGAUUAGGUAGUUGGUAGGGUAAAGGCUACGACCAAGCCUUCGAUCUGUAGCUGGUCUGAGAGGACGACCAGCCGACACGUGGGACUGGAGACACGGCCCAGUACUCCGUACGGAGGCAGCGAGGUGGGUAAUUUUGGAACUAGUGGGACGAAAGCCUAGACUCCAGCCAUCGACCG
rnacentral:rRNA from 1 species